rnacentral:rRNA from 1 species
UACCCCCGGGGGUAGAGCACUGGAUGGGCUAUGGGGACUCACCGUCUUACUGAUCCUAACCAAACUCCGAAUACCGGGGAGUACUACUCGGCAGACACACGGCGGGUGCUAACGUCCGUCGUGAAAAGGGCAACAACCCUAACCUCCAGCUAAGGUCCCCAAGUCAUGGCUAAGUGGGAAAGGAUGUGAGGAUCCCAAAACAACCAGGAUGUUGGCUUAGAAGCAGCCAUCAUUUAAAGAAAGCGUAACAGCUCACUGGUCUAAAUAAGGGUCUUUGCGCCGAAAAUGUAACGGGGCUGAAGCCAUGCACCGAAGCUGAGGAUUUGCGAGUAAUCGCAAGUGGUAGCGGAGCGUUCCGUAAGCUGAUGAAGGGAGACCCGUGAGGGCUCCUGGAGGUAUCGGAAGUGCGAAUGUUGACAUGAGUAACGAUAAAGAGGGUGAGAGACCCUCUCGCCGAAAGACCAAGGGUUCCUGCUUAAAGUUAAUCUGAGCAGGGUUAGCCGGCCCCUAAGGCGAGGCAGAAAUGCGUAGUCGAUGGGAACCACGUUAAUAUUCGUGGGCCUGGUGGUAGUGACGGAUUGCACAAGUUGUUCAUUCUUAUUGGAUUGGAUGGGCAGCGGAGCGGUUCCAGGAAAUAGCUCCACCGUAUAGACCGUACCCGAAACCGACACAGGUGGUCAGGUAGAGUAUACCAAGGCGCUUGAGAGAACUAUGUUGAAGGAACUCGGCAAAUUGCACGCGUAACUUCGGAAGAAGCGUGACCCCAUGCUAGGCAACUAUUAUGGGGUGGCACAGACCAGGGGGUAGCGACUGUUUAUCAAAAACACAGGGCUCUGCGAAGUCGCAAGACGACGUAUAGGGUCUGACGCCUGCCCGGUGCUGGAAGGUUAAGAGGAGAGGUGCAAGCUUUGAAUCGAAGCCCCAGUAAACGGCGGCCGUAACUAUAACGGUCCUAAGGUAGCGAAAUUCCUUGUCGGGUAAGUUCCGACCUGCACGAAUGGCGUAACGACUUCCCCGCUGUCUCCAACAUAGACUCAGUGAAAUUGAAUUCCCCGUGAAGAUGCGGGGUUCCUGCGGUCAGACGGAAAGACCCCGUGCACCUUUACUAUAGCUUUACACUGGCAUUCGUGUCGGCAUGUGUAGGAUAGGUGGUAGGCUUUGAAGCGGGGACGCCAGUUUCCGUGGAGCCAUCCUUGAAAUACCACCCUUAUCGUCAUGGAUGUCUAACCGCGGCCCGUUAUCCGGGUCCGGGACAGUGUAUGGUGGGUAGUUUGACUGGGGCGGUCGCCUCCGAAAGAGUAACGGAGGCGCGCGAUGGUGGGCUCAGACCGGUCGGAAAUCGGUCGUCGAGUGCAAUGGCAUAAGCCCGCCUGACUGCGAGACUGACAAGUCGAGCAGAGACGAAAGUCGGUCAUAGUGAUCCGGUGGUCCCGCGUGGAAGGGCCAUCGCUCAACGGAUAAAAGGUACGCCGGGGAUAACAGGCUGAUGACCCCCAAGAGUCCAUAUCGACGGGGUUGUUUGGCACCUCGAUGUCGGCUCAUCGCAUCCUGGGGCUGGAGCAGGUCCCAAGGGUUUGGCUGUUCGCCAAUUAAAGCGGUACGUGAGCUGGGUUCAGAACGUCGUGAGACAGUUCGGUCCCUAUCUGCCGUGGGUGUAGGAAUAUUGACAGGAUCUGUCCCUAGUACGAGAGGACCGGGAUGGACAUAUCUCUGGUGGACCUGUUGUCCUGCCAAGGGCAUAGCAGGGUAGCUAUAUAUGGACGGGAUAACCGCUGAAGGCAUCUAAGCGGGAAACCCACCUGAAAACGAGUAUUCCCUAUCAGAGCCGUGGAAGACGACCACGUUGAUAGGCCGGGUGUGGAAGUGCGGCAACGCAUGAAGCUUACCGGUACUAAUAGCUCGAUCGGCUUGAUCGU